AAGGAUUCUGAAUUGACCUGCUUUCUUGUAUAUGUGAGCAGUGUUAUUUCUUAUGUGCUAUACAAGUAGUUGAAGGUUAAUUAGCAGUAGUAGUAGUUGUUGGUUACUAAAUAGUAAUGCUACCAGUCUCCUUCAGACAAAU